AUAUUAUUAAUGUUCUAAAAUAGAUCCGGACGUUACAAUAUAUAUUUCAGUGGCGACGCCUAACCACAUUCGCGACUAUUGACGAUAUUGUCAACAUGAAAGCAACGAAGAGGGUGGCCAAAAUGUGCCUCAUUCUAAAGCAGUGAGAUCAAUAGAUGAAAUAGAAAUACAACGUUCCAAAAAUCUGAUUUCCAUUACGGUUUUUAAUUUAUAGAAAAUGUUAGGAUUGGAAUUUCGGAACGAUCAAGAGCGCGUUGGAAAGCUGAGUGUCUACUUUUCAGGAAAAAAUAUAUUAUUUUUAUAAAGUGUCAAUUAACCGGAAAUUCUGCUGUUUCAGUCGGAAUUCCAAUUAAAUUGGCUCAUAUUAAAAAGGCCAAUUGAACUGGCUCAUAUUAAAAAAGCCAAUUGAAUUGGCUCAUAUCAAUCGUCAAUUAAACACGAUAAUUAACUUAAAUAAUAUUUAAUUAUCCACAAUCCUGCUCUGCACAUAUGAGUAUACUAUAUAAAACAUAAACAAUAAAAAAGUAGUAACUGGAAAAUUCAUGAAAAAUAAGGUGACGAAUUGGUCCUAUGACCGAUAGUUUUUAUAUUUUAGUUUUAAAGGUCUAAAUCAACAUAGUCCAUUUACUUAAAAAAUACUGUCUAUUGCAAAACAAGUUGCAUAUCUUUUCAUGUUUGUAUGGUUUGUGUGUGUAUGUUGCACAAAAGGGAGUGUAAUGUAAAAUAAAUAUUCUUAUACGUACAAAUGUACACACGUGCACGAUGCAACUCGCUAACGCGCGAGUGAUUGCACAUUAAUUUUUACAUAACUUGAAAAUUAAAAGCGACAUUUCUGUAAUAUUCUUAUUUUAUAGUUGAAUUACUUUCAGCUAUAGUCAAGUGUUAAUUAAAAAGAGGCUAGAAUGUCACUGAAUGGAGUUCCAGGUUCCUUUGCUGCUGCUUCGAAUGUCUCAAUAAACGCUUUUUUUUGAGAUUCUUUAGAUAGCUAAAAUUAUGAACAAUAAUAUAAGUUAUAAAAUAUGUGACUUAAAAAUUAUGUUAAUUUACCUUGUGAUAAAAGUCUGAAGCGGCUAUAUAUAACAUCUUCUUGUCUUCGUACUCAUACUUGCCGAUUCUUGAUUGAACGUACGGAAACCUGUCAUAGCUGUAGCUAAGGAAACAUUAUUUCUCUUUAUACAGAAUUGUGAAUUUAUCUCAACAGAAAAAGGAUACAACGCUCUCAACCAAUGAUUCGUCGAAGCGCUUAUAAAGAAACAAGAUAAACACCAAGUCGACAUCGCCAUUGGUAAACUCUGGAUAAAGUUGGGUAGACUAAAUACUACCCAAUCUUGAAGAAGUUCCAUUUCCGUGCAAGUACAUGCUUUCUCACAGACCUAAAAAAAAAGAAAAAGUAAAUCAAGUUGAAUAAUGCUCCAUCGUGGCGCAGUAUCAUUGCAAUUGUCGUCCCAUAAACCUUAAAAACAACAGCAGAGAGUAAUCUCUGAUGCGGUUGUUGUGGCGACAGAAAUUCUCCUAUAACUUUCGUCAAGAUUUCUGACGGGGGGAAGAAGUCUCCGAGGACGCCGGAAAGAACAGUACAUAGCACUUCCACUUCCAUAGGAUGUCCCUUUCGAAUUUUAUCGAAUAUCGCAGAAGUACGUUCUAUAGAUCUGACCAAUGCUUCCGGUUCUACGUCCGGCAAAGGUUCUUCCACACCGGGUUGAUUUAGCCGAUCGGCCGCUUCCGUGUACAUACAUGUCAAUAGAAGUUGCAGAGCAGGUAGUGCUAGCAACGGGCUCGAUUGCUUCAGCCGAUCUAUCGCAACUUUAACAAUUUGUUCAGCAACCUUCCCGACCACGCUUUUCGUCGCGACGAGCCUCUCAAGACCCUGUCGGCAAAUCGGCAGUUUUCAUACUGCGUUACUUGAGCGAUUGCGUGAAAGGCGUCAUAACAUACCUGCAGUAAGGUCUGAUGCAAACCAUACGAGAUAUUCGGAAACGUGACUAGAGAAAGAACUAAUUCUAACACGGCUGGUGCUUCCGUGUCUGGCGGCGUGUCUUCCGCAUGCUCCAGCAAAAAGAACACUAAAGCCCACAUUAUCCCUUGAUGCUCUUCACUUUGAUUUAGAACGCUGUAUCAAAGAAAAAAUAAGUUAAAUAUACUAUUCGAUUAUAUUGGAUAUGUAGAUCUAAUUAGGUAAAUUAUAUUCGACUAAAUGGAUAAAUAAAUCAGUCAAUAAGUUUUCGAUAUACGAGUAACUAUAUAUCUUAAUAUACCUGAAACUUCUUUAGUUUCAAACAGAUGACAAAAGAAUGUCUCGGGAACAACAUAUUCUAUUUAACCGGACAUAUCAAAUAAUUGAAAUUAAUUUCUUGUCUCAUAUUUUUUUAAGAUUUCAAAAUCACUUUGACUAUAAUACGGAAACAUAUAAUAUAGAACACAUUUUUUAAUAUAAUUGUAAGAUUUUUAAUAAUUUAUAAAAUAAUUUAUAAAAUUAUACACGAAAAAAUAUUUUUAUCAGAAUUGUAGUUAAUGUAAAAAUGAGUUCAAUAAUUUGCAAUAUCAUGAUCUUGCGAUAAAUUUAAAACGUAUUCUAUAUCAAGUCAGGAUAACUUUGAAGUUUGAAAACGUGACAUCUGCAGAAAAUUAAUUUCGAUUAUUUGAUGCACCCUAUUGAACAGAAUAUUUUUCCUAGAACCUUUUUAUAAUACGAAACAAUUAAGGAAAUUAUUUAAAGAAAUAAUUUAAUGUAAUUUUAAUAUUAAAUAAUAUUAAAUAAUUUAAUUUAAUCUCAAAUUUAACGCUAAGAUAUAAUGACUCAAUCUUGUAUAUGUUCUAUUGACACGAAUAAACUGAAAUAAAAUUCGAAAUUACCCAUUCGAA